rnacentral:rRNA from 1 species
GGGGGGGGGGGGGGGGGGGGGGGGGGGGGGGGGGGCGGGCGGAGAGGUGGGGAGCGGGCGCCUCGGACGGUGGCGGCGGGCGGGGGGGGGGCACGUGGGUAGCCUACCUGUAAGACUGGGGUACCUUCGGGAAACCGGGGCUAAUACCGGGGGAUAUAUUGAACCGCAUGGGUCAAUAGUGAAAGGCGGUUGUGCUGGCCCUUAUGGAUGGAUCCGCGCCGCAUUAGCUAGUUGGUAAGGUAACGGCUUACCAAGGCAACGAUGCGUAGCCGACCUGAGAGGGUGAUCGGCCACACUGGAACUGAGACACGGUCCAGACUCCUACGGGAGGCAGCAGUAGGGAAUCUUCCGCAAUGGGCGAAAGCCUGACGGAGCAACGCCGCGUGAGUGAUGAAGGUCUUCGGAUCGUAAAACUCUGUUAUUAGGGAAGAACAAAUGUGUAAGUAACUAUGCACGUCUUGACGGUACCUAAUCAGAAAGCCACGGCUAACUACGUG